CUCUCGGUCGUCUAGUUGGUUUAUGGCGUCGGACUGUAACAGUAUCAGAAUAUCCGAAUGUCGCGCGUUCGACUCGCGCCUGAGAGA